rnacentral:tRNA from 1 species
GGGAAUGUAGCUAAGAGGUAAGGCAUAGGGAGCAUAUAAGCAACCUAUUAGCAUUGGUUCGAAUCCAAUCAUUCCUU